rnacentral:rRNA from 1 species
GAUGAACGCUAGCGGCAGGCCUAAUACAUGCAAGUCGUACGGCAACACAGUUGCGAGCAAUCGCAACCGGUGGCGAGGUGGCGCACGGGUGAGUAACGCGUAUGUAACCUACCCUUCUCCGGGACAUAACUCCGCGAAAGCGGUGCUAAUAUCCCAUACCAACUCAUCAAGACAUCUUCUUGAGUUGAAAGCAGCAAUGCGGUGAAGGAUGGGCAUGCGUCCCAUUAGCUGGUUGGUGAGGUAAUGGCCCACCAAGGCUACGAUGGGUAGGGGUUCUGAGAGGAAAGCCCCCCACACUGGUACUGAGACACGGACCAGACUCCUACGGGAGGCAGCAGUAAGGAAUAUUGGGCAAUGGUCGAAAGACUGACCCAGCCAUGCCGCGUGCAGGAUGAAGGCCCUAUGGGUUGUAAACUGCUUUUAGCCGGGAAUAAACACCCGUUUUAUAACGGGCCCGAAGGUACCGGCUGAAUAAGCAUCGGCUAACUCCGUG